AACAUCGCCUUUUGGAAAGUUAGAAGGUCUAACCUGCCCACUGAAGAAGUUAAAGGGCCGCGGUAUAUUGACCGUGCAAAGGUAGCAUAAUCAUUAGUCUUCUAAUUAAAGGCUGGAAUGAAUGGUUGGACGAGGUGCUUGCUGUCUCAUUAAAAUGAAUGGAAUUUAACUUUUCAGUCAAAAGGCUGAAAUGAGGUUGGAGGACGAGAAGACCCUAUAGAGCUUUAUACCUGAAGUGUUUAGUUUUUCUAGAAGAAUUUUUACUUAAUUAUGAGGGUAUUUUGUUGGGGUGACGGGGAAAUAAGAAGAACUUUCUUUUAUUUAAAACACAGAUGGGUGGGCGAUUGAUCCAUUUAUAGUGAUUAUAAGACUAAGUUACCUUAGGGAUAACAGCGUAAUCUUUUUCGAGAGUUCUAAUCGACAAAAAGGGUUGCGACCUCGAUGUUGGAUUAAGGGUAAAUUUGGGUGCAGAAGCUCAAAAAUUAGGUCUGUUCGACCUUUGAAUCCUUACAU
rnacentral:rRNA from 1 species